rnacentral:lncRNA from 1 species
UGAGCCAAGGUUUGUGACCUGAGACCAAAUAUUUUCAGACACUGCAACAGCAAAACCAACAAAUGCCUCUUGAAUGUCUGGGAGAAAAGGCAGGAGAUUCACACAUUUUGCAGUGUGUAGAUGCUAUCUUGGUGGAUGGAGGAUUUCCCCUCAUCCUAAGGAGGAGACUGAGAUGUAC